rnacentral:rRNA from 1 species
CUAAGAAUCUUCCGCAAUGGACGAAAGUCUGACGGAGCGACGCCGCGUGGGUGAUGAAGGCCGUGAGGUUGUAAAGCCCUUUUCUGCUUGAGGCGGUAGGGCAGGAAUAAGCCCGGCUAAUUACGUGCCAGCAGCCGCGGUAACACGUAUGGGGCGAGCGUUGUUCGGAAUUAUUGGGCGUAAAGGGCGCGUAGGCGGGUUUGCAAGUCUGGUGUGAAAGACCGCAGCUUAACUGCGGAGGCGCGCUAGAAACUGUAAAUCUUGAAUCCUGGAGGGGAGCUGGAAUUCCUGAUGUAGGGGUGAAAUCUGUAGAUAUCAGGAAGAACACCGGUGGCGAAGGCGAGCUCCUGGCCGUGGAUUGACGCUGAGGCGCGAAAGCGUGGGGAGCAAACAGGAUUAGAUACCCCGGUAGU